AAUGGUAAGAAACGUAUUUCUUUUAAAAGGGGCAAAAGGCUUGAAAGCCUUAAUCAAAACACAACUAAAAACUCUGAAGGUUGAAAAGCCUUAUAGGAACAAGACAGAAGGCGUAAACUCACGCAAGCCUCAUACGGAAAAGAGAAACAGAACGAGAAACAGAGGCAGCAAGACUAUUUACGCAGACAACAAAAAAUUUAGGGUUCUUCACAAAUCACUAAUUCUUGAACUCAGAAUUAAUUGUUUGACGGGUAUAAAUUCGACUGGGGCCUACGUAUUGGCUCAAGGAUUUUUGAGGAACCGGUUUUGCAGGCGAGCAAGCUACGGG